CGGGCAGGUUGGGCUCGUGAGCCGUCAUAGGCAAUACACCUAGGAGAGCAAACUCCGAAUAAAAACCCGGGCAGGUUGGGCUCGUGAGCCGUCAUAGGCAAUACACCUAGGAGAGCAAACUCCGAAUAAAAACCCGGACAGGUGGAGGUCGUUAGCCGUGGUAGGCAAUUCGCCUAGGAGAGAGACAACUCCGAACAACAAACACGGGCAGGUGGAGGUCGUUAGCCGUGGUAGGCAAUUCGCCUAGGAGAAGGACAACUCCGAACAUCAAACACGGGCAGGUGGAGCUCGUUAGCCGUGGUAGGCAAUUCGCCUAGGAGAGGGACAACUCCGAACAUCAAACACGGGCAGGUGGAGCUCGUUAGCCGUGGUAGGCAAUUCGCCUAGGAGAAGGACAACUCCGAACAUCAAACACGGCCAGGUGGAGGUCGUUAGCGUGAGCAGUUCACCUAGGAGAGCAAACUCCGAAUAAAAAACCCGGCCAGGUGGAGGUCGUUAGCGUGAGCAGUUCACCUAGGAGAGCAAACUCCGAUUACAAACCCGGCCAGGUGGAGGUCGUUAGCCGCGAGGCAGUUCACCUAGGAGAGCAAACUCCGAUCACAAACCCGGGCAGGAGGGGGUCGUUAGCCGUGGUAGGCAGUCCUCCUAGGAGAAGGAAAACUCCGAAUUCAAACCAACACACACACACACACACACACCAGCCGGGCAGGUGGGGCUCGUUAUAGGCGUCGUAGACAAUCCACCAAGGGGAAUCAACAAUAAAAGGAUAAUAAAAGCGAACACACGAGAAGAAGAAUAUGAAAUUAGAACCGGACAAAAAAGGAUAAUAUAAGAUGGAACACCGAAUAAAAGAUAGUUAAGAAAACAACAUCGAGAAAAGCAUAAGACACUCGCGGAUCAUCCAGACUGAAACAGAAGACCAGAAAAUGGAUGGUAUAAAAAUGACGGAAAAAGAUAACGUAAUAAGAACGCACAGAAAAUAACGUAGAAAUGAAACACCACGAAAAGGAAAAUAAGGAAAAUAUAGAAACAACAUCAUUGAUACCGCCGCUCCGUGGGCGGUAGGAGAAUGAAAUGACCCUUUUCGUAGACGCACAGUAUAAUGUGGUCAAGCUGUCAACAAUAACAUUUACCGCCAGGACCACAAUCACGACGCUCGAAAACGCCCGCGUCUCUGAGCACUAAGCCGGGCAGCUGAACACUUCACUUAGCACCUAACGUUCAGCAUUGUAUUUCACUUACUAUGUCACUUAUUAAUCUAUAACAA